rnacentral:siRNA from 1 species
AGUAUGUUGAGUGAAAGUGGU